ensembl:snRNA U4 U4 spliceosomal RNA
AGCUUUGGGCAGUGGCAGUACUGUAACCAAUGAGGUUUAUCCUAGGAGUGAUUAUUGCUAACUGAAAUAUAUUUUUUGAAUUUUUUUCUUGUAACAAGUGUUCUAAGUAUCAGUAUAAACACAAACUGUAAAGUU